rnacentral:rRNA from 1 species
UUAAAUUGAAGAGUUUGAUCAUGGCUCAGAUUGAACGCUGGCGGCAGGCCUAACACAUGCAAGUCGAACGGUAACAGGAAGCAGCUUGCUGCUUUGCUGACGAGUGGCGGACGGGUGAGUAAUGUCUGGGAAACUGCCUGAUGGAGGGGGAUAACUACUGGAAACGGUAGCUAAUACCGCAUAACGUCGCAAGACCAAAGAGGGGGACCUUAGGGCCUCUUGCCAUCGGAUGUGCCCAGAUGGGAUUAGCU